rnacentral:rRNA from 1 species
GACGAACGCUGGCGGCGUGCCUAAUACAUGCCAGUUGAGCGCUGAAGGUUGGUACUUGUACCAACUGGAUGAGCAGCGAACGGGUGAGUAACGCGUGGGGAAUCUGCCUUUGAGCGGGGGACAACAUUUGGAAACGAAUGCUAAUACCGCAUAAAAACUUUAAACACAAGUUUUAAGUUUGAAAGAUGCAAUUGCAUCACUCAAAGAUGAUCCCGCGUUGUAUUAGCUAGUUGGUGAGGUAAAGGCUCACCAAGGCGAUGAUACAUAGCCGACCUGAGAGGGUGAUCGGCCACAUUGGGACUGAGACACCGCCCAAACUCCUACGGGAGGCAGCAGUAGGGAAUCUUCGGCAAUGGACGAAAGUCUGACCGAGCAACGCCGCGUGAGUGAAGAAGGUUUUCGGAUCGUAAAACUCUGUUGGCAGAGAAGAACGUUGGUGAGAGUGGAAAGCUCAUCAAGUGACGGUAACUACCCAGAAAGGGACGGCUAACUACGUG